rnacentral:rRNA from 1 species
ACGGAAGGCAGCAGUGAGGAAUAUUGGUCAAUGGACGGAAGUCUGAACCAGCCAAGUCGCGUGAAGGAAGACGGUUCUAUGGAUUGUAAACUUCUUUUGUCCGAGGGUAAAGUGAGAGAUGCGUCUCUUAUUGCAAGUAUCGGACGAAUAAGCAUCGGCUAACUCCGUGCCAGCAGCCGCGGUAAUACGGAGGAUGCGAGCGUUAUCCGGAUUUAUUGGGUUUAAAGGGUGCGUAGGCGGAUGAUUAAGUCUGUGGUGAAAGCGUGCGGCUCAACCGUACCGAGCCAUGGAAACUGGUUGUCUUGGGUGUAAACGAGGUAGGCGGAAUGUGACAUGUAGCGGUGAAAUGCUUAGAUAUGUCACAGAACUCCGAUUGCGAAGGCAGCUUACCAGCAUACAACUGACGCUGAGGCACGAAAGCGUGGGUAUCAAACAGGAUUAGAUACCCUGGUA